UAAAAAUCGUGUUUUAAUAGU
rnacentral:piRNA from 1 species